rnacentral:antisense_RNA from 1 species
CUUGAUCGAGCCGAGGAACAGGGGCUGCCCGUCGGGUCGGUGUUGGCCGUAGGUGGCGAGGAGUGCCUGGGCUUC